rnacentral:rRNA from 1 species
GACGAACGCUGGCGGCGUGCUUAACACAUGCAAGUCGAACGGAAAGGCCCUGCUUUUGUGGGGUGCUCGAGUGGCGAACGGGUGAGUAACACGUGAGUAACCUGCCCUUGACUUUGGGAUAACUUCAGGAAACUGGGGCUAAUACCGGAUAGGAGCUCCUGCUGCAUGGUGGGGGUUGGAAAGUUUCGGCGGUUGGGGAUGGACUCGCGGCUUAUCAGCUUGUUGGUGGGGUAGUGGCUUACCAAGGCUUUGACGGGUAGCCGGCCUGAGAGGGUGACCGGCCACAUUGGGACUGAGAUACGGCCCAGACUCCUACGGGAGGCAGCAGUGGGGAAUAUUGCACAAUGGGCGGAAGCCUGAUGCGGCAACGCCGCGUGCGGGAUGACGGCCUUCGGGUUGGAAACCGCUUUCGCCUGUGACGAAGCGUGAGUGACGGUAAUGGGUAAAGAAGCACCGGCUAACUACGUG